rnacentral:tRNA from 1 species
UCCUUCGUGGUGUAACAGUAGCACACUCGGCUUGAAUUCGAGAGGUCCAAGUUCGACUCCCGGAGAGGGCA